rnacentral:rRNA from 1 species
UGUUUCGGCAAGGGGGUCAUCCCGACUUACCAACCCGAUGCAAACUGCGAAUACCGGAGAAUGUUAUCACGGGAGACACACGGCGGGUGCUAACGUCCGUCGUGAAGAGGGAAACAACCCAGACCGCCAGCUAAGGUCCCAAAGUCAUGGUUAAGUGGGAAACGAUGUGGGAAGGCCCAGACAGCCAGGAUGUUGGCUUAGAAGCAGCCAUCAUUUAAAGAAAGCGUAAUAGCUCACUGGUCGAGUCGGCCUGCGCGGAAGAUGUAACGGGGCUAAACCAUGCACCGAAGCUGCGGCAGCGACGCUUAUGCGUUGUUGGGUAGGGGAGCGUUCUGUAAGCCUGUGAAGGUGUGCUGUGAGGCAUGCUGGAGGUAUCAGAAGUGCGAAUGCUGACAUAAGUAACGAUAAAGCGGGUGAAAAGCCCGCUCGCCGGAAGACCAAGGGUUCCUGUCCAACGUUAAUCGGGGCAGGGUGAGUCGACCCCUAAGGCGAGGCCGAAAGGCGUAGUCGAUGGGAAACAGGUUAAUAUUCCUGUACUUGGUGUUACUGCGAAGGGGGGACGGAGAAGGCUAUGUUGGCCGGGCGACGGUUGUCCCGGUUUAAGCGUGUAGGCUGGUUUUCCAGGCAAAUCCGGAAAAUCAAGGCUGAGGCGUGAUGACGAGGCACUACGGUGCUGAAGCAACAAAUGCCCUGCUUCCAGGAAAAGCCUCUAAGCAUCAGGUAACAUCAAAUCGUACCCCAAACCGACACAGGUGGUCAGGUAGAGAAUACCAAGGCGCUUGAGAGAACUCGGGUGAAGGAACUAGGCAAAAUGGUGCCGUAACUUCGGGAGAAGGCACGCUGAUAUGUAGGUGAAGCGACUUGCUCGUGGAGCUGAAAUCAGUCGAAGAUACCAGCUGGCUGCAACUGUUUAUUAAAAACACAGCACUGUGCAAACACGAAAGUGGACGUAUACGGUGUGACGCCUGCCCGGUGCCGGAAGGUUAAUUGAUGGGGUCAGCGCAAGCGAAGCUCUUGAUCGAAGCCCCGGUAAACGGCGGCCGUAACUAUAACGGUCCUAAGGUAGCGAAAUUCCUUGUCGGGUAAGUUCCGACCUGCACGAAUGGCGUAAUGAUGGCCAGGCUGUCUCCACCC